GGGACAUGUCGGUCGUUAGCGAUUCUUUCCUAGAAACCAGGCAUUAAUAUCCGCGAAGACGCUGCUAGAGUUUACGAUCGUAGCCGGCACGCGAAUGGCUUUAUUUUCGUUAGAAACACUGAUCGACGGUUGUAUUCUGUUACGUUGCGUACGCCCACGCGAUCACGUAGUUAACACGGCGAUACACAUACAAUGCAGCUGAACGUGUAUUGGCCCUGCAUUAGCAUACACCAAGGAGUGUACAGGAAAUACCGAGGCUUCAUACAGUAUUUUUCUGCAGCUCUCGUAGAAGCAACUCUGUCGACCGCACAGAAAUUUAAUGCAACUGACCGAGCAAGCGCUGGAUCGGAAAUGGCGAACGUGGCUCCCUGUGGAUUUGCCGCGUGUUUACAGAGCUACCGCACAUUUAAUGGUCCUGACGACAAUUUUUCAAUCAUCCAAGAACAGCUUCCGAUAUGGGUUUUAUGUGGAUGAUUAAUGUCAAAGAUAUUAUCAGCAGAUCUUACGAUUCAUCGGCGAUGAUGACGGAUAUUGCAAGUUGCUCGAAGCAUGAUAAGCGAAGAGAAGAUAUUUCGAUCGCCAUUUUUUAUUUAACGCAGUAAGUUGAAGGAACAUGAAUGCCUCGUGUCAAAAGGUGAAGGCGAACGAAAUGGAUUUUCCGUUUUUAUGACGUUGUGAGAAAACGAUCUUUCAGUUGACUUUCAGUACCGAAGUCAAUUGACCUUACUUCACUACCUAUCACUUUACUUGUUCGAGGGUCGAAAAAUCGCGAUUAGAAAAACAAUUGCCUAUUUAUGUUUGAUAUUUAUUCAAUGCCUUCGUUGGAAAAUCGAGUCUCAUCUAAGGAUAGACAUCUGGAUAGACAACAUUAAUUGACGAUUAUAAUACUCGAGCGAAGUAUUAAAUGCUCUUUUCAAGUUAAUAGAAUUAUAAUUAUUUUCUCUUAAAAAAAGGUGUGUAAUAAAAUGAAGGACAAAUAAAAAAAAAAGAAAGAUGUAUUUCGUUCGAAAGUAGCUGCACCAAGAAUGUGAGUUGGAAUGAUUUACGAUUCUUUGCAAGUCAUAAAAACAUCAGCUAUAAGGGAUGGAAAGUUUUUGCGAAGAUUUGAAAGAAAAUUUACGAUGUGCUCUCAGGUUUCGAUAUAGUGGAACAGUACCUUUAAUUACGAGAUUGAAUGAAGUUACUUUUGAUCUUAGAAUUUUAUAGAUCGUAGAAUCUAUAAAUGAUCUGUCUAUUAAAUUAUCGAAAAAACUAUAUAAUUUUCGAUUAAUUGAGGAGUAUUCCUUUGGGAAAGAAAUGGUCGAUCACAGCAUGCAAUUUGUAACUGAUUCAGAGAAGAGACUCGAUAUUGAUGAACAAAUUAUGAUUAACGUCGUAAAAAAAGAGAUAGUUAAAAGUUUAAAAAAUGAACAAUGGAAAGUACUCACCUUCUUACGAUGCGGACAGCAAGAAGAUCCAUUGCCCAUGGUUCGAUCUUUCGAAACAGCGAAAGAAUCAAUCCUCACACUAAUUCAUAACACUUUAACACAACGCUUCCAAAUUUUCUUCGCACAAUUAUUUCUUUUUUUCUUCAUCGCAGUUUCGAGAAAGUUGCAGAUUUAUUAUCGCGUUGGUAUUCGAGCCAACCAUUCCAUGAAUAGUCCAAUCGCUUUUGUUAACUAUCUCCUGAAUCUCGACAAGAUCACGUUCUCGUUCCUUUAAAUUUUCCUCAUUUUCUCAUCAUAUUGAUAUCCAGAUCAACAGAAUCAAUGUGAAAGGUCUUGAUCUCGUAGACGAAGUAAAGAAACGAGCGGAGAAAAGACUAGUGGGAGUUGGAGUUGGUUAAAGUCUUUGAAUAUUUGAUGUGGAAUGGAAAUAAUUUUUGUACCUGUAUAUGUAUUAAAUUAUUUUGAAUAUCAUCUUGAAAAUUCAAUUGCAAAGAAUCAUUCAGAGUUCUCUGAAGUCCAAGUAACAGGUAUUAAGUAUGUCGAGGAUUACGUAUAUGGAAAUUUAUCUUAAACUAUUAGUUUAAAGAUCUUGUUAAGUUGAGUUUACUCUCUUCUUCUCUUAAUCAUUUUCAAUCAACAAGAUCAGACAAUGUACAAAUUCGAAGAUUGAAAAGAAACUAUGUUGAUGUUCAAUUUGUAAUAUCAACUACAAAGAGAAAAAGAUCAAAAGACUACCCACGUGUAAUCUAAGAUCCUCUUCCCUUUAUCAUUAAUCAGCAUUUUCAUUAGAACUUAUUAUUUCGGCUAUGAUCCGUAAUUCCUUAACAGUGUAACUUAUGGCAUCCGACAGACUGAUUAGAAUCUCCCUGGCUGUAAUUUCUCCAUAAAAUGACUGCCAUUUAUCUCAACUGCCAAUAACGAUUACUCGCCACUUGCAAAAUCUUCGAUUGCUUGCUUUCGAGAUGUUCUUCAUCAAGAAAAAAUUCUUGGAUGACUGGUGCAAGGUCCAAGGAAAAUGAACUUUGAUUUCGAUAUAAGUCUUAAACUUGAUGAUUCAUGGAUUUUUUAUUUUUGAUUUUUUUUUCUAAUAAAUAUUCUUUUAAUGAAUUUUUUUUAUUACAUAUAUAUAAAUAUAUAUGUUUUAAUAGAAAAAUGAGAAUGGGAUAAAUUAUAGCCAGUAAUGAAUAAGUCUCAUGAAUUAAUACAUAUAAAAAUUUAUAUGUAUGA